rnacentral:rRNA from 1 species
UACGUAGGGUGCGAGCGUUGUCCGGAAUUACUGGGCGUAAAGAGCUCGUAGGUGGUUUGUCGCGUUGUUCGUGAAAACUCACAGCUUAACUGUGGGCGUGCGGGCGAUACGGGCAGACUGGAGUACUGCAGGGGAGACUGGAAUUCCUGGUGCAGCAGUGGAAUGCGCAGAUAUCAGGAGGAACACCGGUGGCGAAGGCGGGUCUCUGGGCAGUAACUGACGCUGAGGAGCGAAAGCGUGGGGAGCGAACAGG